AACCAAUUUCCAUCACACAAAUCACUCGGCUCGCUGCUGUCCCUCUUGGAGAUGGCACUUUUCCCUGCUUUUAGCCUUUCUGCAGCAAUGCAGCAACGCAGUUUUGGGGCUCAGAGGGUGAAAUAAUGAAAAGCUUUUCCAGCACCAGCUGUAUCAAACGUAUCUACUACAAGUAUUUUGCUUUCUGCACUGUACAAAACGCCCAACUGCCAGAAGAAAACGCUUCCCAAAUUAAUACAGAAAAGUGUGUCACGAUAGCACAUCUUAACUCCCCCUCAUCCCCACCAUGGAUAAAUAAAGCUUCCAGAACUGAUUCAGGCACCCAAGCUCCUCCAUCUGAGGCUGACGGCCACACAAGCGAGGGGAGGUGACUACAGAGCCACACUGAGGGCUGGGAUUUGUUCCGCUGGCCCCUCCGGAGGUUUUCCCUAAAUAAAGCAUUUCAGGCCUGCUCCAAACUCCCCCAGCUGCCCCUCCAGAGGUUUUCCCUAAAUAAAGCAUUUCAGCCCUGCUCCAAACUCCCCCAGCUGUCAAACACAGGUGGAAAGCAAGAGCUGCAUCCAACUGGUACCUGCAAACCAGGGAUCCUCAAAUCCCAGGAAAAUCAUCAACACCCUGAGCUGGAAGGGAUUCCUGUCAAGGAAUAUCAAAGUCCAGCUCCCGGCCCUGCACAGGCACCCCAAAAAUCCCACCCUGUGCCUGGAUGGGGAUCCUUGAAAACAAGCACAGAGCAGCAGGAGACACAUGAAGGAAGACAAUUAAAGGGUAUUAAGAACAGCUUAAUAAACAACUUGGAAAAAACUUUUCAGAGACAACAGCUCAGGCACAAUUUUAAAACCACAACCUUUAAGUUAGACUGAAAAGUAAGGAUUUGUUUAAAUCCCAUUUAUGCUGGAAUGCCCAAAGUUUCCAACACUGCCUGGCUCCAAGUCUGCCCAAGAGAAAGGAAGAGGGAUACUCUUGAAUUACACCAGGUGGAUUUCACUGAGCACUGAGGCACCUCAGCUCACACUUCAAGCACCAUUCCAAGAAUGGCUUUAUAAAAAUGCUGAAUGGGUCCAGUCAGCUACAACUCAGUUAAAAAUAAAUCUCUUCAAUGCCUUCCAACAUACCUGCAUUGCUGUGUUGUUGGGCAACCUGUGGGUUUCCAAUUAUUAUUAUUGUUUUUAAGCUGUUUUUCUUUCACCCAGCAGGUUAAAAAGCUACACAGGCACGAAGAGAAGCUGGCUAAGUGCAGCUCCAAAACUGCCAGCAAAUGUACACUUAAGGGAGAGCUGGUGGAAAAAUCUGUCAGUCUGGCAUCCCCAGCAUUAUAUGUAACAAAAAAAGGUAAUUCACCUUUUCAGCCCCAAUCAAGGUAACACGGCUGUUCCAGCCAAGAUGUUAUUGGAGCAGUUUUACUGUGUCAGGCUGCUCAGGCAGAGCGAGCUGAGACACUUAAUACGUGAAAAUUAAAGCAAGAGAUUAAACACAGCAACACUGGGUUACAACUUAUAAAACAGGCCUAGUGAAAUAUCAGAAGCUGACGGUUGUUUCUGACCUAGUUUUCACUGGAGAACAGUCAAAGAGCCGAAAAGGCUGAGGCGAGGCUGAAGGUGCUGAAAUUCCAGUAGUGCUGGGGAACAGGAUUAGAAGAAAAGCCCUCAGACAUUCAAAGGGCUGAGGGAGCGUCACGGAGAACAGGCAGGUUCAAGAGCCUGGCUUCAGUGGCAAGUGACAUCCUGGGGAGCAGGAGGGACAGGAGGGCUUCAGCCAGGUGGGGAUGAAGUCAGAGGUGUCCCAGGGCCUCCUCAACGGGGCAGCAGGAGGCCGAGUUGAGGAGGGCAGAAAACCUCAAACGCAGGAAAGAAUCAUUUUAAAAACCUGGAUUUCAGGAGGUAUUUUCGUUGCUUUUCUUCCGAGAACACAAAUGUGCUGUCAAACACCUGGGCUCAUUUGAAUAACAAGAGGAAAAAUUAAACCCCUUUAUGCAAGAGAACUGCAAGUACCCAGGAGAGAUCCGGGGAGGGGGGGCUGCAGCGAGGAAAGCCAGGUGAUCCCCUCCCAGUAAGCUGUUCACAUGUCUCCCUCGAUUCUGCAGCUCCAAAUUUAUUUCCACCAGGCAGCUCCACGCUGGUUUUAAGCCUCAUUAAGGAGCAGUAUGUUGCUGGGCUGACAUGUCAGAUUUUUAAAUGACCUUUGUACCGACAACAGCGUUACCAAGCUGCUAAGAACAGAGGGACGAAAAAAAAACCAAAAAAAACCCCCAACAAGUCGUUUUCCAUGAUUAGCAGAGGUACAUCGUGGCUGUUUGCAUUUAUCCGAGUUCCAAAAAAACUCCCACCUGUCAGGAAAGCGAGCCAUUAAAAAAAAAAGAGCAAUUCUCUCUGAAGGGCAACUGUGACGGCAUCAGCACUGCUGGCCAUUCUCAACGUGGGACUUAUCACACAAGGUAAACAGGAGUGACUAUCAGUUAAUGAACAACACAACCCCGAGGCUGAAUUUUAAAGAGCGUUUUCUCCACUGCAAUCUUUUAAUGAAAAUACAGCAGUUCAAACCCACCGAGUUUGCUUACGAAAGUCUAAUUUAUUUUAGGACAUAUUAAGACACAAGGGCUGAUUCACUUGCCUAUGUGCUCAUAAGGUGGCUUAAAUGAGCUGCUGAAACAUCAGAACGAUCCUUAUCUUCCACAGGGCUUUACUCCUUUUCUUGCAAGAGAAAAAUAUAGAAAGGCAAUUGAGAGAUCAGACUGACGAACCCGUUGAACCAUCCCGGAACGAAUCUCGCCUCACUCUGCUGAGCCCAGGGAAACAAGCCUGGGCCAGUUCUGUUUUCCUUGUGCCCAGCUAUAUCCUAUCGACACUCGGAGGCAAGAGUAAUUGCUAGUCUGAGAAAGUUCUGCUGAAGAUGAUCUGAAGAUGUUCCUCACGGAGGAACAGAUCCUAGGAUCUGUCACAGACAGUGCUGCUGGAAGAGGCUGGGAUAAAAGUCAAAGCCAGAGCCUGGAUCCUGAAGGAAUCCCAGAGGAAUCCCACCAGCAACACCCCACGAGCCAGAGCAACCUCAAAAGCAAAAGCAGGAUGCUCAGGCAUGGAUUCUUUCAGCCUCCAGGCAAACAGAGGUGCUCCAAGCCAGCCAGGACAGAGGGAACACAACCUGACAGACACUCAGAACUCGGCAGGGGUGUCUCCCAAACUUCCUGCCAUGUCCACAGGGGACAAAGCAAUAAAGCACUCCAAUAUUGCAGGUUUCUUCCUAUCACUGAGGGAAGCUGCCCAAGAAAAAUCCAGCUGAACAUAGUGAGCAAGAGAACCUCUAGAUUUCCUACGGUGAUAGAACCUUGCAUUACAUACCCUCUGCUAACAGCCUCCUCCAGCUUCCAGGGGUGCUUUCUCCAGGAGAAAAGUGAAGGCAGUAGCCUGAAGAAGUUAAAUUAGGUGCUGCCUUUACUUCAGCAAGAAGCACAGAACCUGCACUGUUUCAGCUACCUCUGUAUUUGCACUGCCAGGCUGGUCAGUAACAAACCUGCUCCAAAAAUAAAGCGACAAACAGUGAAAGAAAGAACACACUCUUCUCAACUGGCAAAAAUCUGCCUAAAAAAUAAGUCAGAUGUUUCUUUGCUCUCCGCAAGGACACCUGAGAAAGUUCAGGUUACAACGAAUUCCAAAAAUAAACAUGAAAAAUUUUCAGAUAAGAAGAGGAAAAACAUACCAGGGCUGCUGACCAAACAGGGAACAACCACAGUGCCACGAAAAGACUCCCCAGGUCUGAGCCCAAAAACCCCCAGAGAAUUCAGACGUUCAGACAGAGAAUCUCUCUUGCCUGACAGAGGCAGCUCAGCCAAUUCACACAUGCAAAAGAAGUGGUGUGGCCACUGAGCCGGCACUUAAUUGUCUGACCAGAAUUUUUGGUCUAAAUUUAACAAUCCAGGCAAGUCAUAGUUAGCUGGAACGUUUUGCUCUCUUAGCCCAUCUGAGUUAGGGUAAAUGUGUUUCUUCCUGCUGUCAGCGUCAGUAAAUUUAGUCCUAAUGACAAGUAAAAGGUCUUUAGAUGCAGUUAAAUGGCUUUAAUUGUAGGAGAGAGCUCAAACUUGCAGCCCCAUGCAGGCAGCACCCACAUUAGGUACAGCUCCAAAUGGUUGCAGGAAGGUUGUGGAAACAUGCCUGGAACUAUAACAUCAAACCUUCCAGGUAAUAAAUCUAUUUCUUCUCCCCCUUCACGUUAAAAAGCCCCAAAGUGCUCUGGAUUUUAACGCAUUAAGAACAAAGUCCGUAAUUCACGAGCAGAAAAAUGUUUGCUGUUGGUUUUAAUCACCACCACGUUCCACGUCAACCCCGGUGCCCGUUCCAAACACAUCCAAGAUAUCCCAUUUACGUCCCUAAAGGUUAAAUAUGUUUUACUUUAUCCAUUACUGCCUCCCUCUUCCCAUUUCCACAUUUGCAAAGAUUAAACACGAAGCCGCUUCCUGAGCAGAGCUGGGUGUUUUGGGACUCUCCACCAGCUCCAGGCUGGGAGAACUGGUUUGUGACAAUGCACUCGCUGGGCUGCAUCAUUCUCCUCUGGAAAACCACCCUUUAUUUCUGGAAUCAAAACAAGGAUUGGGAGCUGUGACAUGCGGCAGGAACACGGGAGCUUUCACGUGUUUAGCCACCUCAGUGGCAUUAGGGAACGAGGACCUCAAGGAGGCAGGAAGCAUUUGGGAUUUGCAGCAGGAAAAGCAGCAGCAGCUUCCCACAAAACACUCAGAUAACCAAAGGUUCUUUUUGGCAUUGAUGAAAUGAGAGAAGGAAGCAGAGCUCGUGGCCGGGACCACCGUGCUCCCAUCAAAACACAGCUGCCCUGCAAGGACACGGGGUGGGAACAGCGAGCAAGGUCACAGCCGCGGUGUCACCGAAAGCACUUUUCAAAAGAAAUUGGUCACAGAGCUCCUACGCGCUUCUUAAGGGACUAUUUAUGGGAGCAGAAGUUGUUCUUAAUUCUGCAAGAAGCAGAAGCAGAGGUCACCACUGGGGCUCCGGCAGCUCUGAGGGCUGAACAUCCCCGGCAGGGGGAACAGGUGCUGCCAGGCUUUUCAAAAAUCUAUUUUAAUGCCGCAGGAACUCUCGUUUCGGAGCAAAGUCCUGCUCAGCACUGUCUGCAGUCAGCAGGAUCUGCCUCAGACGCUGCUGAAGGAAAUGAAGACACCCUGUGACAGAGGCUCCGGCCUUCCCAGCUCCGUCAUUUUACAGCAGUUUCGCUCUGAAUCACGAAUUUCCGCCUCCGUUCGGGGCCGGAGCCCCACAAAAGUCAGGGAGUUAAUGAGCUGCUGUCACCUAACCGGGGCGGCCACACCGUCCCUCUGGCAAGCGGCAGACGCACAGGGAGCACUUCAAAGGCGCUGGAACUCUCCCUGCGAGCGAGGGCUGCUCCCUUCCCCAGCAUCCCGGUGGCAAGGUGAGCCCAGCCAGAGCUGGCCUUAUAUGGCUUCCAAGGCACCAUUUCCGCUUGCCCAAGCUCAGGCAGGGUGGAAAAAUUUGCUUCCUUGCUACUCCGCCCAUGCUGGGCUCCGAAAAGCAUCCACUGAACGCUGGAUGGGGAAGGAAUGGAAGAAGUGACAGCGCUCGGCUCCCUGAGGAGGGGAAGGCACGGCUUUGGCAGCACCCCGGGUCACCUCACGCACCGGGGGAGCAGAGGGAGCCUGACGUGCAGAGGGAAGUUGGAAGCACGGCUUUUAUCCUCUGCAUUCCCCGUGAAAAACUCUGAUUUUUCUUGCUAUUCAGCUGCACUUAAGCCUCUCACAUUUGAUGGCAGCAAGCUGUACAGGUUAACAAGGAGCUGGGAACAUUAUUUCCUUUCACUGAUUUAGCCAUAAUACACUUUAUGAUAUAGCAGGAGCACGGAGAACAGCCUUGGCUCAGGGUUCCACACUGUUUCCUGCACAAGCCAGUAUUACUGUGAACAACUCUGAAGCCAGUUCACCUCCUGGUCACAAGGAGGUCCGUGCUACCCAGGUCUGGUGUCAUUAUCAACUUCUCUGAACAUCACAAACAGACCAACCCCCCUAUUCACUAAACAAACACAGCCACAUCCAUCACCCUCAACAUCCACAAGAGCCGGCAAAAAAUGAAGCCCAGUGCAAGCAGGCAAUUAAAAAAGCUGCUUAAUUUUCAAUAAAUGCUCUCCUUCUGUGGAUUAUAAAGUUGUUUUUUUACUAAAAAUGUCUGCCCAGUCACUUUUUGCCCAGCCUUGCUGGUCUGUAUCAAGAUCAUCCCAUUUUUUCACAGCAGAUUUCUCCCAGUGCAAGAAGCAGGCAGAGAUUUAUCUGCAGCCAUCAGUGGUUUGUCCUCGCUCUCACCUGCUGGUCACCAAAUGGCAGAACCCAGCUCCUCCACACACAGAUUUUUUUGAAAAGACAGAAAAAUGGUGGCAAAGGAGCUUGUAAAACCAAGUUCUACCCAUUCCCUUGUUGCCUUCUUUUUUUGGGGACUGGGAAAGGCAGAAACACAGCCCGUUUGAUUUUCUCAUAGAAACCAGGAGCCAAAACCAACUGAAAUCAGCGCCGGAGCUGGAAAGGUACAACAAAACUCACACAAACAUAAAGUCUAGACACUGAAAUGUGGAAAUAUGAUUCAAAUAACCACAACUGGCACCGAACACGCUGAUUGCAGCCCAUCGCAGAAUGGGCCUCAGUGGGGAGGAAUAUAGAAGGAAGAUUAAAUUAGUUCUUCCACCUCAGUUGUAGAAAAUAUGGAUCCUGUGGGCACAGUGAUAUGGAUUGAGGCAGAGUUUCUUCCGUCCUGCUGGGAUUUUUGUUAGGAUUUGAAGUAACACACAUCUGCUCUUGCUAAGUAACAACCAUCAGCUUCAACUGUCGUAUAGAAUCACAGAAUGGUUUGGGUUAGAAAGACCACUAAAUCCAGUUUAUUCCACCCCAUGCCAUGAGCAGGGACACCUUCCACUAUCCCAGGCUGCUCCGAGCUGGUCUGGGACACCCCAGGGCUGGGGCAGCCCCAGUUCCUCCAGACCUGCUCCUGUCUCCCCACCACUGAUCCCACACGGUUACUCUGACCAAAGAAUGGCUGAACUCAUAUGUGCCCAAAAUACAGAGCCAAGCAGCCAAGAGGAUGUUUGUGCUGAUGAAAUCUAAAUACUACAGAGAUGUAGGCAAUUGGUUGCUCUCAGGAAGUUUUGUGGUACCUGCUGAACUGCACCACGUGUGGACACAAACCUCAAGGACAAAGUCUGCGUCUACCAUUGAACCCAAGAGCGCGGAACGGAGCCCGAAAGGAGAAACAGCUCAGCUUUGCACUAAAAUCUGCACUGAAGUCUUCUCUCCUGCACAAAAUCCUGCACAGAGGGAGAGCAGAGGGUUAACCGUGACCAGACUGCACCAGAGCAGGGAAGACUCCAGGUGGGUGGAGGUGGGCAGCUCAGUGGAGCCCCGCUCACCAGCGCUGACCUCUUUUUGAGUUUAACAAAUGCUGGUUUCUUUAAAUUAGAAAAAGGCACUAGUCCAACGUAAAGAAAGCAGAGACCAAGCGCACUGAGCUGUGUUUUUUCUAGACUGUAAUGCAAAAAAGGAUUGGAUUUUGGGAAGUCUGCUCUCCCGGUGCAGCAGGGAUACACACAGCACUCAGCAAACCGACUGCUGAGGGGUUCAGCACGCUCUUUAAUACAUAAAUGCUUGAAAAAAACCCCAAAACCCACCAAAAUCCCCAGUCAGAAGGCAAUACCAGAUGACCAGGGUGUGCAAAAGUCGCCAUAUGUACAUGGGAUGUUUCUAAGCAACACAUGAGCUACUCCAGAAAACUCUUAUCAGCAAAUCCAAGCUCCUUUCCUGGAUAAUUCAUCUAGGUCAAGCUAAGGCACGUUGAACAGCAAAGCCCAGUUUUGGUGAUGCCUCCUCCGUAUCCACCCUGGAUGAAAUAUUAGCACAGCUCAGGUUAUCAGCAUGUCUUUUCAUGAGCAUUAAGUUCACUGCAGAUAAUGGUUCCUCCAGAAACAUCACUAACCUUAAUUAUUCAGAGGUAACUCUAUCCCAACCUUCCUGAUGUUAUGACGCUGAGCGAGGACGGCUUUCCCCUCCCUCCCAACCUCUCCUUCCCCAAAAAUCCAAACGAAUCCGGGAUAUCACACGACCGUGAUCCCAAAUGAGGGUACCCAGUGCAGGAUCCCAGACCCAGGGUGUCCCUUCCCAGUCCACCUAAAGCCGUGCAGCCUCCCCGUCCAUUCAAACGCAUUCUCCUGUGCAUUAGCAGCAAAACCACUAAGUCAGCCAAAACGUAUUCUUCUCCCAUGGAUUAGCUGGCACAAAUUAGUGCGGGAGUGACGCAUGCAGUCUGUCCCUUCCCAUUUUUCAACAUGCACAAACACCAGGGAUUUGGAGACGCUUCACAAGUUUCUGCUUACAAGUUGCAGGCAGAGUUUAAAUGGUCUGAAACGUGAAAUCGUUCGGGAGAUAACACGGCCAUUUACCGAGGAGACCUCAAACGCUCCCUCCGACAAAAGCUCCCCUCCCUCGGCAGCGAUAACGGCGCUGCUGCUGCCCCAGCAGAGCCAGCACCUCGCGAGGGAACUGCUUCAACAGCCACCAGCCCCGCGCCAAGCUGCACCAGGACAAAACCCCCUGAACGGGACAGAGCGCUUCACACGGCUGCAGAAAGGCCCUGGUGCUGGAGGAUCACUCCGAGCUGAGCAGCAGCAGCCAUUCCUCGGUGCUGGGGAGACACACUGCUCUUCUGUGCUUCAGACAGAAGUUAAAAAGAUGUUAUAACAGCUAAGUUAAAAAGAUGUUAUAACAGCUUUCCUUUCAGCUGUUUAAGUGGAGUAAGAAAUCAGAAUACGUUGAAAAAGAGAAAGGGUUUAAUUUUGCUGGGUAAGGAACACAGUCACCACAUCCAGCUGUCAUCGAUACAACUGAUGAAAUAUGCCACUUGAAUUAAAAAAAGAACAACCUAGCCCCAUAUAAAUGACAUAAAGGGUUAAUCUUCUAGCUUGCUUCCCCCUGUAUUGCCAGAGAGCAAAAAAUUAUUAAUUCAACCUCUCCAAUUAAUGGUAGGGUAUCUUUUGCUGAUAAAAAGCAGAUCACGUUUGAUUUAAAAAAAUGAAAUAAAAAAAGAAGAAAGCCCCAUCAGUCACAAGGAUUCUUUCUGUCACAAACUUUCUAUUUUCCUUUGGCACAUCACCAAUUAGACCUAGUUCUUCAGUCUGCUACCACCAGUAUAAAAAAAAAAGCAUAAUGGGUUUAUAAUUUGCCACCAAAUCCCAUAGCAACUGUACGUCACUUUAGAUGUAAAUUACAGACAAUUCCUCCCAACGCCAUUUGAAAACUAUAGAGAUGAAUCUAUAAUUUGAGCAGACCCAAAUGCUAUACGGUUGAGAGAAAAAGCUUCCCUAAAUAAUUGAAAGCAAACUGCCAGGGGCCAAAACACUCCUCGUGCACAGUGUUCAGUGUCUCUUUGUCCCCUUCCUUGCCAUGGGAGGUGCCCCAUUCAGGUCAACGCGAAGAACACUGAGCAGGAGCUGAGCAGCUCAGGGUGUUCUGCAGAUCCUGUCCCAUUUCUGCUGAUGAGCCGUACGUGUGCGAUGAGCUUCCUCUCCAGCCUCCUGUGAAUCACUCAGCCGUGUCACCGACUCACGCUCCCGAUGUCGUAAGAGCCUCAAUUUUGACGGACUACAGCAUCAGUGAAUUAAUAGGACAGGAAAAAACAGGUUACGGGCAAGGAGGAAUGAUGCAAAAAGCUCUGAGAUAAUUCAAUGAAUUUUGAUUGGAAAGGCGGAUUGUUCUUCUCCUCCUGACACCUGCAAGCAGCUUUCAAUUCUCGAGUCAGCAUGAAUACGCAUUACCCUAAAGACCCUGUAACGACAGCACAGCCUUCAUUUUGUGUGUCGUGCUUUGAACACAGCAAGAUGAAGGAAUCUCCACGACCUGCUCCAAAAGCCGAGGCUGAAAGUUAUUUCAAUGAAUAGCAACUCCAAGGGGAAGGGUUAACCCUCGUUUCCAAGGGAUUGCUUCUCUCAUGGUUGGUUUUAGGGCAGCGUGGGGAAGACGAUUUGGGAAGCCACAUCUAUGGGACCACAGUCCCAAAAUUCAGCUGGGUGAGCACAGGGACAACGUGCUUCGGUUAUCUCAGCUCAGUCCCCAAUAAAUAUUUGUGCAUCUGCCAAAGUUCACCAGUGAAUCAAGCGGUGGCUGCAGUUCAAAACACUCCGGGGUAGCAGGGGCAGAGAGAGACGAGGGGAGCGGGACGUGCUGCUCAGCUCCAUCACCAGGGGCUGCCACCCCAAACCUUCUUCAAACCCUCCUAAAACCACCAGGCAAGGCAGGAGCAGGAGCAGAGUUCAGCCAUUGUCAGAUCAACACAAAGUGACAGGGAAAGGUGUGCAACUGCAUCACGCUGCCUGUGAUUAAACAGCCACCCCUCAACCACAGAGAGGGUUUAUAGAAGUACCUGGAAGUUGGGAAAUUCCCAGGUAAGGGUUCCAGGAACAGCCCUAACACUGUUUAUGUGCCACCAGCACCUUCACUGCAAGGGAGACAGAGCUGCUGCCAAGGGACACUCCGGUCUGCCAUGUGGCAUCUGAAUCAGGCAGGAAGAUGGGGACUUACCCAGGAUGCUGCUACAAAAACAGAUGUGAAAAAUAAAGGAUGAAUGGUAACUAAGGGAAUUAGGUGAGGAUGGUAAAACAUCUCCUCACCAAGGACAGGAAUGAAAGAGGAAAGCAAGGCACGGGUGUGAGCAGUUCCCUUCUACCUUGACGUGGGCAGGAACAAAGUUGGGGGGCACACAAGAAGAGAUGGGAAAAGUCACAGAAUCAUCUAAUCCCAGCAUGGUUUGGGUUGGAAAGACCUUGAAGACCACCCACCUCCACCCCCUUGCCACGGGCAGGAACAUUUCCCACCAGACCAGGCUGCUCCAAGCCCCAUCCAAGCCGGCCUUGGCCGUGCCCUGCCUUUUGGGGGGAGUGGCAAUGCCUAACCACGUACACACCCCCAAAAGGAAGGCAGCAGACUGCAGGCUGCUCUGGAAUCACACUCCCUGGAGAACCCAGAGCUGUUCUAGGUGAGCACACCAGACUGGCUCCAUUUCAUCAGUGGACAAACCAACUUGGGACACACUUCCCACUGCUCAGCCCUCUGAGCUCAGCAGCCAGAGCUCUCAGUUUCACAACUGUGGGGAAACAGUUUCAGGGGCAGCAAGUUUCACAAGGAGCAGCUGGGUGACAUCUUGCUGCGUACCCUGUGAAGCCAGUGCUAAUUCUCUUUUGAAGGCUCCUGUUUCUUUCAGGUGAGCUACCAAAAAAACCCUUCCCAGGAUCAGCAGAGCUGGAGCUCCUCAGCAGCAGCUCCACGUCCUCUGUGCCUGACACAGGAGCAGCUUGUUGGGGAUCAGCAUCUCAGAACCACAGAAUGGUUUGGGCUGGCAGGGACCUUAAACCUCAACCUGUUUCAACCCCUUCCAUUAGCAAGGACGCCUUCCACUAGACCAGGCUGCUCCAAACCCUAUCCAGAAUUUGGAUCCCUGACCAUAUUCUUCCCUAGGACGCAGACAAUUCAGCAGAAGCACAAGAGCACAGCUCAGCAGAGGCCCAACAAGACAAAUAUCUGUUUCUCCACAGCCCUGCUGCCUGAUCCACACAUGGUGCAGCUCCACACCAAGCCUGCAACUGCUCUGGCACCAGGGACACUCCAAACAAAUGGCAGCUCGCCCGGCCGGGUGAUCAUUUUUGGAUUAUGUAAUCCCAAUACAUUAUUAUUAGACCAAGAACAAACUCAACCAAGGAACUGAAGACAUUUCCCUGCCCGUCCUGGCAGAGGGACAGAGCCCUGUCGCAGGAAUGGCAGGGACGUGCUCCCCCGGUGCCCCAAACAGGUCAGACUGCACAUGUCGGAGUGCAGGUAGCACAAAGAGCAGGAUUGGAUUCCAGGCCAUUAUCCAUAUUACACAACGCUGCCGUCAGUCCCACCGCCUUUCCAACCAAACCGAGCACAAGGAGCCUGAGCAAAUUUUUUCCGUUGAACUACUGCAGGCCAAAAUUAAAGCGGAGCUGGAGUGGACUAACAGAAGCUGCAAAGGUGUGCUGGAGGUGGCUCCUGGCAGGGCCGGGCCCAGAGCUUCCCAGGAAGCCCAGACAUUCAACAAGCCGGGGAAACUGUUUAUAGAACCGACGCAGAAUGAGCAUAUGUGUUUAAUAGCCCACUAAUUGUUGCGUUAUUCACUACACAAACAAGCAGCUCUUCUGCCCUUAUCCCUUCCUGCCCAGUUAAUCACCAGGAGCCUCUGACUAUUUCUCUUUUGGGUGGCGGUGAAGGAAGCAAAGUUCAUUAGUGGCCGUUGGCCACCGAACAAUCCUGAGCCCAGACUUCAUUUAGAAAAUAAACACCACUAUUCAUGUGUGACAUGGACUCGGAAUACCUUCCCAAAAUAUUUAACGCAGCUGCCUGUAGUCUUCCUGCUCUCCCUCCCCCAAAAUAAAAGGCUUUCCCAAUAUAUAGGAAAGAAUUAUUUGGAUUAUUUGUUUCAUUUUUCAGAGA